GUCACAUCUUGGGGGAGGUCUAAGCCACCUCAUUUGAUCGUUUGCGGGAACUUCCUUGGAAACACAGGAAGACAACAGACAAUGAGGGAGGAAGGAAGGAGUUAAGCAGCAGCAACACUUCAUGUGGCUUCGCUCUCGUUCCCCUCAGCAGAGACCCAGCUGUCCCUCCACAACACAUCGGCCCUCCAUUUCUCCCACGAGCUGGGGGGCAGGGCGGAGGGAGGCCUAUUCAGCGGACCUCUUACUUUUGUGUCGCCUUUUUAAAACAAGCUCCUGAACACACAGACCCCCUCCCGCUGCAACAUGCAGCACCCACAACAAGCCCAUCUGCAGAAAGCUGCAGUUCCAGACAAAGUCAGUCAUGCCGUCCUGAAGGAAACUGGAAUAGCAGAUUUCACCUCGUCGCCUGGGGAAAUAUCCAGAGUGAAAAGCAAACAUUUCCACAUCCCAGUGUGCUCUGUUAAAGUAACUUGAAUCAAUCAAUCAAUCCCAGUAAAGGGUAAAUUCACAACAAA